rnacentral:rRNA from 1 species
UACGUAGGGUGCAAGCGUUAAUCGAAAUUACUGGGCGUAAAGCGUGCGCAGGCGGUUGGUCAAGACAGAUGUGAAAUCCCCGGGCUUAACCUGGGAAUGGCAUUUGUGACUGAUUAGCUAGAGUGUGUCAGAGGGGGGUAGAAUUCCACGUGUAGCAGUGAAAUGCGUAGAGAUGUGGAGGAAUACCGAUGGCGAAGGCAGCCCCCUGGGAUAACACUGACGCUCAUGCACGAAAGCGUGGGGAGCAAACAGG